UACGGAGGGAGCUAGCGUUGUUCGGAAUUACUGGGCGUAAAGCGUGCGUAGACGGCUAUCUAAGUCGGGUGUGAAAGCCCCGGGCUCAACCUGGGAAUUGCAUUCGAGACUGAAUAGCUAGGGUACGGUAGAGGGAAGCGGAAUUUCCGGUGUAGCGGUGAAAUGCGUAGAUAUCGGAAGGAACAUCAGUGGCGAAAGCGGCUUCCUGGACCAGUACCGACGUUCAGGCACGAAAGCGUGGGGAGCAAACAGG
rnacentral:rRNA from 1 species